rnacentral:rRNA from 1 species
UCGCUCUUCAACGAGGAAUCCCUAGUAAGCACGAGUCAUCAGCUCGUGCUGAUUACGUCCCUGCCCUUUGUACACACCGCCCGUCGCUACUACCGAUUGAAUGGCUUAGUGAGACCCUCGGAUCGAUAAGUGGAAACCUUCACGGGUAUCCUUUUGUUGAGAAGUUGGUCAAACUUGGUCAUUUAGAGGAAGUAAAAGUCGUAACAAGGUAGCCGUAGGUGAACCUGCGGAAGGAUCAUU